CUCCAGACUCCUACGGGAGGCAGCAGUGAGGAAUAUUGGUCAAUGGGCGGGAGCCUGAACCAGCCAAGCCGCGUGAAGGAAGAAGGCGCCAGGCGUCGUAAACUUCUUUUGUCGGGGAACAAAGGGCGCCACGCGUGGCGUUGUGAGUGUACCCGAAGAAAAAGCAUCGGCUAACUACGUGCCAGCAGCCGCGGUAAUACGUAGGGGGCGAGCGUUAUCCGGAUUCAUUGGGCGUAAAGCGCGCGUAGGCGGCCUGUUAGGUCGGGGGUCAAAUACCGGGGCUCAACCCCGGUCCGCCCCCGAUACCGGCAGGCUUGAGUCUGGUAGGGGAAGGCGGAAUUCCCAGUGUAGCGGUGGAAUGCGCAGAUAUUGGGAAGAACACCGGCGGCGAAGGCGGCCUUCUGGGCCACGACUGACGCUGAGGCGCGAAAGCUAGGGGAGCGAACAGGAUUAGAUACCCGAGUACG
rnacentral:rRNA from 1 species